UACGAAGGGGGCUAGCGUUGCUCGGAAUCACUGGGCGUAAAGCGCACGUAGGCGGAUUGCUAAGUCAGGGGUGAAAUCCUGGAGCUCAACUCCAGAACUGCCUUUGAUACUGGCAAUCUCGAGUUCGGGAGAGGUGAGUGGAACUGCGAGUGUAGAGGUGAAAUUCGUAGAUAUUCGCAAGAACACCAGUGGCGAAGGCGGCUCACUGGACCGGUAUUGACGCUGAGGUGCGAAAGCGUGGGGAGCAAACAGG
rnacentral:rRNA from 1 species